GGUUAAGCGACUAAGCGUACACGGUGGAUGCCCUGGCAGUCAGAGGCGAUGAAGGACGUGCUAAUCUGCGAAAAGCGUCGGUAAGGUGAUAUGAACCGUUAUAACCGGCGAUGUCCGAAUGGGGAAACCCAGUGCAAUUCGUUGCACUAUCGUUAACUGAAUACAUAGGUUAACGAGGCGAACCGGGGGAACUGAAACAUCUAAGUACCCCGAGGAAAAGAAAUCAACCGAGAUUCCCCCAGUAGCGGCGAGCGAACGGGGAGCAGCCCAGAGUCUGAAUCAGCUUGUGUGUUAGUGGAACGGUCUGGAAAGUCCGACGGUACAGGGUGAUAGUCCCGUACACCAAAAUGCACAGGCUGUGAACUCGAAGAGUAGGGCGGGACACGUGGUAUCCUGUCUGAAUAUGGGGGGACCAUCCUCCAAGGCUAAAUACUCCUGACUGACCGAUAGUGAACCAGUACCGUGAGGGAAAGGCGAAAAGAACCCCGGCGAGGGGAGUGAAAAAGAACCUGAAACCGUGUACGUACAAGCAGUGGGAGCACCUUCGGGUGUGACUGCGUACCUUUUGUAUAAUGGGUCAGCGACUUAUAUUCUGUAGCAAGGUUAACCGUAUAGGGGAGCCGCAGGGAAACCGAGUCUUAACUGGGCGUUAAGUUGCAGGGUAUAGACCCGAAACCCGGUGAUCUAGCCAUGGGCAGGUUGAAGGUUGGGUAACACUAACUGGAGGACCGAACCGACUAAUGUUGAAAAAUUAGCGGAUGACUUGUGGCUGGGGGUGAAAGGCCAAUCAAACCGGGAGAUAGCUGGUUCUCCCCGAAAGCUAUUUAGGUAGCGCCUCGUGAACUCAUCUUCGGGGGUAGAGCACUGUUUCGGCUAGGGGGUCAUCCCGACUUACCAACCCGAUGCAAACUACGAAUACCGAAGAAUGUUAUCACGGGAGACACACGGCGGGUGCUAACGUCCGUCGUGAAGAGGGAAACAACCCAGACCGCCAGCUAAGGUCCCAAAGUCAUGGUUAAGUGGGAAACGAUGUGGGAAGGCACAGACAGCCAGGAUGUUGGCUUAGAAGCAGCCAUCAUUUAAAGAAAGCGUAAUAGCUCACUGGUCGAGUCGGCCUGCGCGGAAGAUGUAACGGGGCUAAACCAUGCACCGAAGCUGCGGCAGCGACACUAUGUGUUGUUGGGUAGGGGAGCGUUCUGUAAGCCUGCGAAGGUGUGCUGUGAGGCAUGCUGGAGGUAUCAGAAGUGCGAAUGCUGACAUAAGUAACGAUAAAGCGGGUGAAAAGCCCGCUCGCCGGAAGACCAAGGGUUCCUGUCCAACGUUAAUCGGGGCAGGGUGAGUCGACCCCUAAGGCGAGGCCGAAAGGCGUAGUCGAUGGGAAACAGGUUAAUAUUCCUGUACUUGGUGUUACUGCGAAGGGGGGACGGAGAAGGCUAUGUUAGCCGGGCGACGGUUGUCCCGGUUUAAGCAUGUAGGCUGGUUG
rnacentral:rRNA from 1 species